rnacentral:rRNA from 1 species
GAGUUUGAUCCUGGCUCAGGAUGAAUGCUGGCGGCGUGCCUAACACAUGCAAGUCGAGCGGCAGCGCGUCUAGUUUACUAGAUGGCGGCGAGCGGCGGACGGCUGAGUAACGCGUGGGAACAUGCCCCAAAGUGAGGAAUAACUGCCCGAAAGGGUAGCUAAUGCCGCAUAUGGUCUUCGGAUUAAAGGAGUAAUCCGCUUUGGGAGUGGCCUGCGUACGAUUAGAUAGUUGGUGAGGUAAAGGCUCACCAAGGCGACGAUCAGUAGCUGGUCUGAGAGGACGACCAGCCACACUGGAACUGAGACACGGUCCAGACUCCUACGGGAGGCAGCAGUGGGGAAUUUUGGACAAUGGGGGCAACCCUGAUCCAGCAAUGCCGCGUGAGUGAAGAAGGUCUUCGGGUUGUAAAGCUCUUUUGUCAGGGAAGAAACGGUUUUGGAUAAUACCCAAGGCUAAUGACGGUACCUGAAGAAUAAGCACCGGCUAACUACGUG